UCUCGGCUCUCGCAUCGAUGAAGAACGUAGCGAAAUGCGAUACUUGGUGUGAAUUGCAGAAUCCCGUGAACCAUCGAGUCUUUGAACGCAAGUUGCGCCCGAAGCCAUUAGGCCGAGGGCACGUCUGCCUGGGCGUCACGCAUCGCGUCGCCCCCGCACAA
rnacentral:rRNA from 1 species